rnacentral:rRNA from 2 species
GAGCAAACAGGAUUAGAUACCCUGGUAGUCCACGCCGUAAACGAUGAGUGCUAAGUGUUAGAGGGUUUCCGCCCUUUAGUGCUGCAGCUAACGCAUUAAGCACUCCGCCUGGGGAGUACGGUCGCAAGACUGAAACUCAAAGGAAUUGACGGGGGCCCGCACAAGCGGUGGAGCAUGUGGUUUAAUUCGAAGCAACGCGAAGAACCUUACCAGGUCUUGACAUCCUCUGACAACUCUAGAGAUAGAGCGUUCCCCUUCGGGGGACAGAGUGACAGGUGGUGCAUGGUUGUCGUCAGCUCGUGUCGUGAGAUGUUGGGUUAAGUCCCGCAACGAGCGCAACCCUUGAUCUUAGUUGCCAGCAUUCAGUUGGGCACUCUAAGGUGACUGCCGGUGACAAACCGGAGGAAGGUGGGGAUGACGUCAAAUCAUCAUGCCCCUUAUGACCUGGG